rnacentral:rRNA from 1 species
ACAUGCCUACAACAUAGCAUUAAUGCACUAGAUCCCAUUAGAACCCUGUAGUUAAGCGCGCUCGGGAUAGAGUAGUACUGGGAUGGGUGACUGUUCGGGAAGUCCUAUUGUUUUACAUGCC